GACGAACGCUGGCGGCGUGCCUAAUACAUGCAAGUAGAACGCACAGUUUAUACCGUAGCUUGCUACACCAUAGACUGUGAGUUGCGAACGGGUGAGUAACGCGUAGGUAACCUGCCUGGUAGCGGGGGAUAACUAUUGGAAACGAUAGCUAAUACCGCAUAAUAUUAAUUAUUGCAUGAUAAUUAAUUGAAGGGUGCAAUUGCACCACUACCAGAUGGACCUGCGUUGUAUUAGCUAGUAGGUGAGGUAACGGCUCACCUAGGCGACGAUACAUAGCCGACCUGAGAGGGUGAUCGGCCACACUGGGACUGAGACACGGCCCAGACUCCUACGGGAGGCAGCAGUAGGGAAUCUUCGGCAAUGGACGAAAGUCUGACCGAGCAACGCCGCGUGAGUGAAGAAGGGUUUCGGAUCGUAAAGCUCUGUUGUAAGAGAAGAACGGGUGUGAGAGUGGAAAGUUCACACUGUGACGGCAUCUGACCAGAAAGGGACGGCUAACUACGUG
rnacentral:rRNA from 1 species